AUUGAACGCUGGCGGCAGGCCUAACACAUGCAAGUCGAGCGGAUGAAGGGAGCUUGCUCCUGGAUUCAGCGGCGGACGGGUGAGUAAUGCCUAGGAAUCUGCCUGGUAGUGGGGGAUAACGUCCGGAAACGGGCGCUAAUACCGCAUACGUCCUGAGGGAGAAAGUGGGGGAUCUUCGGACCUCACGCUUUCUGCUGAGCCUAGGUCGGAUUAGCUAGUUGGUGGGGUAAAGGCCUACCAAGGCGACGAUCCGUAACUGGUCUGAGAGGAUGAUCAGUCACACUGGAACUGAGACACGGUCCAGACUCCUACGGGAGGCAGCAGUGGGGAAUAUUGGACAAUGGGCGAAAGCCUGAUCCAGCCAUGCCGCGUGUGUGAAGAAGGUCUUCGGAUUGUAAAGCACUUUAAGUUGGGAGGAAGGGCAGUAAGUUAAUACCUUGCUGUUUUGACGUUACCAACAGAAUAAGCACCGGCUAACUUCGUG
rnacentral:rRNA from 1 species